AAUCAACGCUGGCGGCGUGCCUAACACAUGCAAGUCGCACGAGAAAGGGGAGCAAUCCCUGAGUAAAGUGGCGCACGGGUGAGUAACACGUGAAUGAUCUACCUCCGAGUGGGGAAUAACUGAGAGAAAUCUUGGCUAAUACCGCAUAAUACCCACGGGUCAAAGCAGCAAUGCGCUUGGAGAGGAGUUCGCGGCAGAUUAGCUAGUUGGCGGGGUAAUGGCCCACCAAGACGAUGAUCUGUAUCCGGCCUGAGAGGGCGCACGGACACACUGGAACUGAAACACGGUCCAGACUCCUACGGGAGGCAGCAGUGGGGAAUUUUGCGCAAUGGGGGAAACCCUGACGCAGCAACGCCGCGUGGAGGAUGAAAUCCCUUGGGAUGUAAACUCCUUUCGAUAGGGAAGAUAAUGACGGUACCUAUAGAAGAAGCCCCGGCUAACUUCGUGCCAGCAGCCGCGGUAAUACGAGGGGGGCAAGCGUUGUUCGGAAUUAUUGGGCGUAAAGGGUGCGUAGGCGGUUUGACAAGUCUUAUGUGAAAUCUUCGGCCUCACCC
rnacentral:rRNA from 1 species